CUUGUUUUGGAAUCAUUGGGCAGCAGUCAGCUGUUUUGUUGUUUAUCCAUAAUGGCAACCCACUCCAGUAUUCUUGCCUGGGAAAUCCCGUGGAUAGAGGAGCCUGGUGGGUUGCAAACAGUCGGACACAACUGAGCGACUAAACAACAAAUAGCAAAAGUAGUACUUAACUAUGUGCCAAAACUGUUCUGAGUGCUUUUUAGUAUAGUAAUCCUUUAAUCCUUACAACCAUUAUUUUGGGAAUUCAGCAUCGGAGAACAGUGAGGUUAAGUAAUUAGUCCAAGGUCGUUUAAACCCAGACUUUGUCUCCAGAGUUGGUGCCCUGAUCACUUAUAGUCUCUCACUGGCUGGCAGGGUUUUGGGGGCGUGGAGAAGAAGGGAAUACCUGUCCCCAGGGUAGAUUUCUUUUGCAGGUAGGAAGGAACUUAAUUCUCUCAAAGGAUUUCAUCAAAUGUCCUAAUCUGGCAUGUUUCCAUUAAACUCAUUGUAUCUGAUUGGGCGAACGUAGUGAUUGUUGCAGCACUUCUGGGAAGUAAGAUGUUUUUUCCCUUCCUAGUCGAGCAUCUGUUUUUUCGCCUGAAUUGUAUUUUAUUCUGAUUAGAAAGUCAUUGCUAGUAUACAGAUACUCAUGCACUGAGCCCUUUUCUGAGGGUAAGCAGAGAGCUGGCUUUUGCCCUUGGUCGCAUCACGUGGCAGACAUGGCAGAAGAGAAACCCUUUUUUUUUUUUCCUGUGGCAGUUGACAAGGCCAUCAAUUCGCAGAGGAGGAGAACAGGGAAACCUUCUAGACAGCUUAAACAUUUGGUGGCACUCAUGAGUCUGUCAAGCAUCUAAACUCAGGACAGUGCACACUUAAAAUGAUCUGGAAUAAACUUUAACUUUCGUAAAUAUAAUAAUCCAGUAUUCGAGUCAGAAGAGGCACAUUUUCCCUAAAUCAUUUAAUGAACUCCUAUCUCUCAAGAAAAACUUGAUACGAAACAAACACACAAAAAAGUCCUAAGGUAGGUAAGGUCAACUAAGAAUUGAAGAUCAAGUGAGUAAAUAACCAAGUAAAUGGAAAUUAUCAAAGAAGGAGAUAUAUUGUGAAUGCACUGUUCAAGAUGUUUAUUAACCAGAGCAAUAAUGAUGUGUUUUUAAACUGUAAUAAGGGCAAGUAUUGAAUUCCAUCCAAGCCACACACAUGAUUUGCAGGGUCUGUGUGGAAUAUAAAACUCUGCAGAGUCUAGACCUCAUAUCCUAUAUGGCUUUUGGCUAAUUAGCAAACAUUGGCCUCAUGUCUGUUACUCAAUAGCCUAAUUGCAGCUCAUUGUCAAGAAUGCAGUCUUUCACUGCUGAUGGUGGGGUUGGGGGUGGAUUUUCUGUAAAAGAGGUUAAAGGGAGAAAUCAUGAAACUUUCUAAAAUGAGGUGCUCCAGAAUAAUCAGAUACAUUUACAUUUGGGUCUAAUAAACAAUUCCUGAGAAACUUUUUUUACUGUGAACAACCUUAGCUGUGCAACCCUAAACAACUCACCCUGCCUUUCUGAGCUUCAGUUUCCUCACCAGGAAAGGGAAUAAUCUUAGUCCUCCUUGCUUUAUUGUGCUGCUGUGAGGAUUAAUGAGUUAAAACUUCUAAAUCUCUUAGAACAACUCAAUGUGAGUUUCAACUUGAAUUCUACCAAUUGCUAACUUUGUUUUAUUGGGCAAAAUAGUUAUAUCUUUUUUUCUUCUCCUCAUUGUCCUGUAAAAUGAGAAUGAAACCAUUGAACAGCAUUUGGGGUAUUAAGUAACUACAGUCCAUAGUUUAUUCAGAUUUCCCUAGUUUUUACCCGAUGUCCUUUCCCUGUUUCAGGGCCCCAUCCAGAACACUGUGUUACAUUUAGCUGUCAUCUCUCCUGAGGCUCCUCUAAAACAUGACAGUUUUUCAGACUUGACAUGACCUUGACAGUUCUGAGGAGUGCUGAUCAUUGGGGAUUUUUCCUCUGUUUCUCUGAAGGAUAUUCAAUGAAAGAACAGAUCAGUUCUCCUCAAAAUUGGUUAAGUUGCCAUUUUCGUCACAUCACAUGUAUCAGGGACACUCUAUCAACGUGACUUAUCCCUGGUGAUGUUGACCUUGAUCAUCUGUCUGACGUGGCAUUUGUGCCCUUUCUCCAGUCAGUUACUCUUGGGGUACACACCCCCACCCGCCCACCUUCCACAUUACACUCUUUGGAAAGAACCACACCUAAGAAGUGGGGAGCUGUGUUCCCCCUCCUUGAGAUCAGUGUAUCUUCAUGAAUUCUUCUGCACAGCUUUGUGUAGUCCCCUCCGUUUAUUUAUUGACUCUCUCGUUUCCUUGUUGUUGUUCAGUCACUGAGUCGUGUCUGACUCUUUUCGAUCCCACAGUCGCAGGACGCCAGGCUUCCCUGUCCUUCACUCUCUCCCAGAGUUUGCUUAGACUCAUGUCCAUUGAGUAGGUGAUGCUAUCCAGCCAUCUCAUUUCUUACAUCAGUAUAAACUAAUGAGUAUUUUUAUUCUUUAGGUUAUAAUCCAAUACUAUGGAUUUUAUUCUUUAGGUUAUAAUCCAAUACUAGUUAUCUUGUUUCUUAAAUUGUUCCAGUUUUGGCCAUGGGGAAUAUUAGGAAUGUUGAUUCCUGUUUCGCUUUGAUAUGCCAUCAUCAUUGUGUUUUUCUGUUUUGUUUUGCUUUUUAUUUUGAAAGCAUUCCUUUCAUAUUAAUCUUGAAUAUUCCCUGCCCUAGUUCUAGAAUUCGCUGUUUCUCCAAAGAACCCUGGUUCCUUUUACUACAAAACGGUGUUAGAAACCAAGGUCUGGGCAACUAGGGCUUACAGAAGUUUCCUGCUCAACUAAUACUAGUUUCCUCCCUUCCUGCCGGGGAAGUUUGGCGUGUACAGUAGUGAGCGCCCUUGUGGCAGUGGGUCCUGGCUGGUGAGCCUCACUCACUGGACAGCAUCAGCCCAGCUGGAAAAGUCAGCAGGAUCUUAUUCAGCUCAAUCCAGGUCACAGUCUCUGGGGGGCAAAGUGCUAUGAGAACCAUCUCUGCCCUCAUGGAACCCAACCCUCUAGAAUCCAAGAGGAGUAACAUAAAAGUGCUGUAGAAAAUCAGAACAGAGAGAAGCCAGUGCAACCAAAGAGCAUUUGAAGAAAGCUUCUUAUACACUAUUUAAGCUUGAGCUAGUUUCAUUCCAGACGGGGAGAUGGAAGAAAAGAUAUGAAAGUGUGGACAGAUAUCUUAAAAAAAAUUAUUUUUGUUAAUCUCUUUUUUUCCCAUGCUGUGUAGCAUGUAGGGGUCCUAGUUCCCCAACGAGGGAUUGAACUCAUGUCCUCUCUAUUGGAAGGCAGAACCACUGAACCAGGGAAAUCCUAACAGAUAUCUUUUAGUAAUUAAAGAGUCUCUUGAUGAAAGUGAAAGAGGAGAGUGGAAAAGCUGGCUUGAAACUCAACAUUAAAAAAAAAACAAACUAAGAUCAUGGCAUCUGAUCUCAUCACUUCAUGGCAAAUAGGAGAGGAAAAAGUGGAAGCAGUGACAGAUUUUAUUUUCUUGGGCUCCGAAAUCACUGUGGAUGGUGACUGAAGCUGUGAAAUUAGAAGACACUUGCUCCUUGGAAGGAAAGCUAUGACAAACCUAGACAACGUAUUAAAAAGCAGAGACAUCACUUUUCCUACAAAGGUCCAUUUGGUCAAAGCUAUGGUUUUUCUA
ensembl:lncRNA